GGUAGUAUGCGGAAAAUCGUUAUGCUGUCAAAGGCUUUCGGCAUUUUUUUAUCGUACACAUGGCAAGAAGAACUGUCGAAAACAUCAACGGAUUCGUUAUGGCCCGGCCAGCUGUAUCGAAAAAGCUUCCCUCGAGAACGUCGAAUCCUGUAGCAGCCGUUGGAGGAACAAAAAAAACUAUAAAAAUCGUGCCGACAACUGUUAGAACCGCAAACGCCGGAGCAGUGCUACCAAUAAAAAAAAAUGAUCCCAGUGUUCGUUCACGAUAUACUAAAGAUUAUCAC